rnacentral:tRNA from 1 species
UGGCUCAAUGGUAAAGAAUCUGCCUGCAAUGCAGAAGACCCGGGUUCAAUCCCUGG